UUGUAGCUCAGUGGUAGAGCGCUUGCUUCACAUGCAUGAGGUCCUGAGUUCAAUCCUCAGCAUCAAAU